AUGGCAGUGGCGGCGGCUGCGAUUGAUAGGUCUGCCAUGGGCCUGGACCUGGAGUUCCGUCUCCUCCAUGGGGUCGGCUUCCAGAUCUGCGCCCCCAUGGGUUGGACCUGGUGCUCCAUCUCCAUGGCGUCGUCUGCUUCCGCUCGGUCGUCUGUGUCCUUCUACUGCUCGUUGAGCGCGAGCGCCGACGCGGCAGGGUGGGGCUUGCUCGGCCCGUUCGGGCUACUCGUGCUGGUUGACGACGGCCUGUCGGAGCAGACCGCUGUCUACUUCUACCUGGUCAAGGGUGCGGACGGGAAGCUCAGCACUCACUUCUGCCAAGACGCCUUCAGGAAUGUCAUUGAAGGCGAACAUUCUCGUCAAGGCCGUUUACGACAGCUUCGUCCCUGUACUUGA
rnacentral:rRNA from 1 species